UACGUAGGGUGCAAGCGUUAAUCGGAAUUACUGGGCGUAAAGCGUGCGCAGGCGGUUUCGUAAGUCUGUCGUGAAAUCCCCGGGCUUAACCUGGGAAUGGCGAUGGAGACUGCGAGGCUAGAGUUUGGCAGAGGGGGGUAGAAUUCCACGUGUAGCAGUGAAAUGCGUAGAGAUGUGGAGGAACACCGAUGGCGAAGGCAGCCCCCUGGGCCAAUACUGACGCUCAGGCACGAAAGCGUGGGGAGCAAACAGG
rnacentral:rRNA from 1 species